AGUGGCGGACGGGUGAGUAACGCGUAGGAAUCUACCUGAUAGUGGGGGAUAGCCCGAAGAAAUUCGGAUUAAUACCGCAUAAUCUAUUCGUAGUAAAGUGGGGGACUUUCGAGCCUCACGCUAUCAGAUGAGCCUGCGUAAGAUUAGCUAGUUGGUAGGGUAAAAGCCUACCAAGGCUACGAUCUUUAGCUGGUCUGAGAGGAUGAUCAGCCACAUCGGGACUGAGACACGGCCCGAACUCCUACGGGAGGCAGCAGUGGGGAAUAUUGGACAAUGGGGGCAACCCUGAUCCAGCAAUACCGCGUGUGUGAAGAAGGCCUGAGGGUUGUAAAGCACUUUCAAUUGUGAAGAAAAGCUAGUGGUUAAUAGCUAUUAGCCUUGACGUUAACUUUAGAAGAAGCACCGGCUAACUCCGUGCCAGCAGCCGCGGUAAUACGGAGGGUGCAAGCGUUAAUCGGAAUUACUGGGCGUAAAGCGUGCGUAGGCGGUUUAUUAAGUCAGAUGUGAAAGCCCCGGGCUUAACCUGGGAACUGCAUUUGAAACUGGUCAACUAGAGUAUGGUAGAGGAAAGUGGUAUUUCUGGUGUAGCGGUGAAUGCGUAGAUAUCAGAUGAACAUCAAUGGCGAAGCAACUUUUCUGACAUACUGACGCUGAGUACGAAGCGUGGUAGCAAACAGAUAGAUAGCCUGGUAGUCAACGCCGA
rnacentral:rRNA from 1 species